rnacentral:rRNA from 1 species
UACGGGGGGGGCAAGCGUUGUUCGGAAUUACUGGGCGUAAAGGGCUCGUAGGUGGCCAACUAAGUCGGACGUGAAAUCCCCAGGCUCAACUUGGGAACUGCGUCCGAUACUGGAUGGCUUGAAUUCGGGAGAGGGAUGCAGAAUUCCAGGUGUAGCGGUGAAAUGCGUAGAUAUCUGGAGGAAUACCGGUGGCGAAGGCGGCAUCCUGGACCGAUAUUGACACUGAUGAGCGAAAGCCAGGGGAGCAAACGGG